AUGAUGCGGUCUGUAUGACCGGUCAUCUGUAUGAUCAGCUUCUGUAUGACCAGUCAUCAGCAUGCUGGCCAUUCUCUUAUGCAUUGCAUCUCGACCUGACGAGUCACUCUAUGUCUUAUGUUUUUACUUAAGUUUAACUAUUUCUGAUGGCAAGAAUGGCUGUUUUAGUGUUAUUAUCAACAUUGUUGUUUCAUAGAUAAACAGAAUAUGAAAUAUUGAUAAAUGUAAAGGCAACCAAACAGGCGUCACAAUUCACAGUCUGAUUGGGGACCAUUUUUACACUUUCUCAAUCCUUGACUCUUGGUCAGGAGCCCUUGGCGUCAAUCUUUAGUUUGUCCAUUUAGUGCAGUUUGUCCAUGUGCAGGGUAUUUCACUGGUUUCAUUGAGAUACCUUUGCAUCAACAGACACUGUGGACAGGGACAUUUAUUACGUCAGUUUUGAUGUCUUUUAUCUCAAACUCAAAUUCAGCUGUAUUUUAUGAUGACUGUGUUUAUGGAGUGGAAUUAUUUUCAGUUAUUAAUACCUCAAUGUUGAAACUUUUCACAUAAACUUAUUGUAUGACUUCAGAAGACUUUGAAUACAACACAAAUACUUUUAAUACUUUUAUAAUAUUUUUUUUAAAAAUCCCUGAUUAUUUUUCAAGCUACAUAAUCUAAAAGCAAACCAAUCCCAGUCAAAGUGACUUGUUUUAAAGAAUCCCCACAUCCCCCAAUUCCCCCAGCAGUGUCUGGUAAACUGAUUGUGCUCUCUUCUUAUAUGCUAAUAACACUAAUGUCUCCACAUUAUCACCUGGCCCUUCACAACAACAGUACCAACAGUAUCCGGGCUAACUGAGUCUCAUCCAAUCACGCUCCAGAUAGCUGGGUGGGGUUAUAUAUAUACUGUUUUCCUGACAGAAUCUUCAUUGAUUUUUUUUAUUUUUUUGUGAAAUAAAAUUCUAAAACCUUGAAGGACAAACAGCUUUUUGAGAUUCCUACAUUGCCUACAAGGGACCACAUACAACAAAGCCUACUAAGGCCAUUUCUCAUCUCUUUUUUCCAUUCAAGACUGAAAAGAAAAUGAGACCCAGAAGAGUCUGUCCUGAAAAGGAAGCUUUGAAAUUCAUCGCAUCUGGGAAAGAUAAAGACAUAUUUCAGUCAAGAGUCAAGAGAACGAUUGUUGAUGAACAGAAAAGAGCAGAUUUGUGUGCAUUUGUGACCACAAACAUCACUGCAGGAGAAGAAAUGAUGUUGGACUGCGGAGAUCCUGACAGCUCAUGGAGACAGGUAGCAGGAUGCUUGGUCCAUUACAUCCUGACGGAUGGACAACACCCUUAUAAGACCACUACACCCUACACCCAGGAUCCACUUGGUCUGUCUCUACAUGUCAGAACGAGUAACUUCAGUCUUCAAUGGGAUGAAAGACUAAACAUAUCUUAAGCAGAAUGAUGAGCAAAUCAGUGGAAGAGCAUCCUACUAUUGAGGAAAGCCUUCAGGAAGUCAAAACUAUGUGCAAAGACUUAUUGUAGAGUUUACAAUAAGCAUUAAAAUGAUUGGAUAUUAGUAUUAGUGUGAAUUUACAGGUUUCGAUCACCAGUCUUAUCAAAUAUCAACCACAAGCAGCUA